rnacentral:rRNA from 1 species
CUUUACUGUAGCCUGGAAUUGGGUUCGGGCUUCUCUUGCGCAGUAUAGGUGGGAGGCAUUGAAGUCAUCCUUGUGGGGAUGAUGGAGCCAUCGGUGAGAUACCACUCUAGAGAGGCUAGAAUUCUAACUGGUUCCCGUGAAUCCGGGAACAAGACAGUUUCAGGUGGGCAGUUUGACUGGGGCGGUCGCCUCCUAAAUGGUAACGGAGGCGCGCAAAGGUUCUCUCAGGCUGGUUGGAAAUCAGCCGUAGAGUGUAAAAGCACAAGAGAGCUUGACUGUGAGACGAACAUGUCGAGCAGGGACGAAAGUCGGCUUUAGUGAUCCGACGGCGCUGCGUGGAAAGGCCGUCGCUAAACGGAUAAAAGUUA